GACGAACGCUGGCGGCGUGCCUAAUACAUGCAAGUAGAACGCUGAAGGAGGAGCUUGCUCUUCUGGAUGAGUUGCGAACGGGUGAGUAACGCGUAGGUAACCUGCCUGGUAGCGGGGGAUAACUAUUGGAAACGAUAGCUAAUACCGCAUAAUAGCAGUUGUUGCAUGACAACUGUUUAAAAGGUGCAAUUGCACCACUACCAGAUGGACCUGCGUUGUAUUAGCUAGUUGGUGGGGUAACGGCUCACCAAGGCGACGAUACAUAGCCGACCUGAGAGGGUGAUCGGCCACACUGGGACUGAGACACGGCCCAGACUCCUACGGGAGGCAGCAGUAGGGAAUCUUCGGCAAUGGACGAAAGUCUGACCGAGCAACGCCGCGUGAGUGAAGAAGGUUUUCGGAUCGUAAAGCUCUGUUGUAAGAGAAGAACGAGUGUGAGAGUGGAAAGUUCACACUGUGACGGUAUCUUACCAGAAAGGGACGGCUAACUACGUGCCAGCAGCCGCGGUAAUACGUAGGUCCCGAGCGUUGUCCGGAUUUAUUGGGCGUAAAGCGAGCGCAGGCGGUUAGAUAAGUCUGAAGUUAAAGGCUGUGGCUUAACCAUAGUACGCUUUGGAAACUGUUUAACUUGAGUGCAAGAGGGGAGAGUGGAAUUCCAUGUGUAGCGGUGAAAUGCGUAGAUAUAUGGAGGAACACCGGUGGCGAAAGCGGCUCUCUGGCUUGUAACUGACGCUGAGGCUCGAAAGCGUGGGGAGCAAACAGG
rnacentral:rRNA from 1 species